rnacentral:tRNA from 1 species
AAAAGAAUGGUGUAACUGGUAGCACGGGAGUUUUGGGUACUUCUGGUCUGGGUUCAAGUCCCAGUUCUCUGA